rnacentral:rRNA from 1 species
UUUCCUACGGGGAGGCAGCAGUGGGGAAUAUUGCACAAUGGGCGCAAGCCUGAUGCAGCCAUGCCGCGUGUGUGAAGAAGGCCUUCGGGUUGUAAAGCACUUUCAGCGGGGAGGAAGGCGUUAAGGUUAAUAACCUUGUCGAUUGACGUUACCCGCAGAAGAAGCACCGGCUAACUCCGUGCCAGCAGCCGCGGUAAUACGGAGGGUGCAAGCGUUAAUCGGAAUUACUGGGCGUAAAGCGCACGCAGGCGGUCUGUCAAGUCGGAUGUGAAAUCCCCGGGCUCAACCUGGGAACUGCAUUCGAAACUGGCAGGCUAGAGUCUUGUAGAGGGGGGUAGAAUUCCAGGUGUAGCGGUGAAAUGCGUAGAGAUCUGGAGGAAUACCGGUGGCGAAGGCGGCCCCCUGGACAAAGACUGACG